rnacentral:rRNA from 1 species
GACGAACCGUGCGAACGUUGUUCGGAAUCACUGGGCUUAAAGGGCGCGUAGGCGGGCGGUCUCGUCAGGGGUGAAAUCCUGCCGCUCAACGGCAGAACUGCCUUUGAUACGGGCCGUCUCGAGGGAGGUAGGGGCCUGCGGAACUUCCGGUGGAGCGGUGAAAUGCGUAGAUAUCGGAAGGAACGCCGGUGGCGAAAGCGGCGGGCUGGACCUCUUCUGACGCUGAGGCGCGAAAGCCAGGGGAGCGAACGGG